GACGAACGCUGGCGGCGUGCUUAACACAUGCGAGUCGAACGGAAAGGCCCUGCUUUUGUGGGGUGCUCGAGUGGCGAACGGGUGAGUAACACGUGAGUAACCUGCCCUUGACUUUGGGAUAACUUCAGGAAACUGGGGCUAAUACCGGAUAGGAGCUCCUGCUGCACGGUGGGGGUUGGAAAGUUUCGGCGGUUGGGGAUGGACUCGCGGCUUAUCAGCUUGUUGGGGGGGUAGUGGUUUACCAAGGCUUUGACGGGUAGCCGGCCUGAGAGGGUGACCGGCCACAUUGGUACUGAGGUACGGCCCAGACUCCUACGGGAGGCAGCAGUGGGGAAUAUUGCGCAAUGGGCGGAAGCCUGAUGCAGCAGCGCCGCGUGCGGGAUGACGGCCUUCGGGUUGUAAACCGCUUUCGCCUGUGACGAAGCGUGAGUGACGGUAAUGGGUAAAGAAGCACCGGCUAACUACGUG
rnacentral:rRNA from 1 species